UGUAGACAAUACAUCCAACUGUAUAUGUUGUAAAGUGGUGUGCUAAGAUACCAAGUUACUGUAAUUUCCAUGAAAAAGGGUGACCAAGCAUAAGAACCAAAAAUUGACGAGCUUUUGCCUAGUGUGGUAUGUUUUUUUUUCAGUCAUUGCAGGCAUGCUCUGGGAGAUUCCCAGUGCUGAGGGUUUCUGCGAGACAAUGCCAAAAGAAAUACAGCAGUUAGAGAGAAGUAAAGGAGGGAGGAAUACUUUUUUCUUAGGUACCAUACACAGACAUGCCAGUGUUGACAAGAGGUGAAAUUGUGUAAUUUCAAUUUUGACAUCAGUGAGGAUAUAAAAAUGAUUUAUCGUCUUAGUUCUCGGAGCUCAAAGCUGGAACUUCUGAAGUUGCUGAAAGUAGCUGAAGGUGCACUAGUUCAUGGGACCUGAUGAGAUGCAUCCACAGAUUAUGUCUAAAGUGUGAGAAUUGCACAUGAAGGAUGAGAAUACUGAAGCUUCUUGUCUCUUGAGACUGAGGAUUGCCUUAAACUGCAUUUCCAUUUCUUGAGUAUUUGAUGCAUGGACAGUGAUUUGGAGAGAAAGUUGGAAGGAAGCAGAG